rnacentral:rRNA from 1 species
GACGAACCGUGCGAACGUUAUUCGAAAUCACUGGGCUUAAAGGGCGCGUAGGCGGGCGGCCAAGUCAGAGGUGAAAGCCUCCAGCUCAACUGGAGAAGUGCCUUUGAUACUGGUCGUCUCGAGGGAGAUAGGGGCGUGCGGAACUUCCGGUGGAGCGGUGAAAUGCGUAGAUAUCGGAAGGAACACCGGUGGCGAAAGCGGCGCGCUGGAUCUCUUCUGACGCUGAGGCGCGAAAGCCAGGGGAGCGAACGGG